rnacentral:rRNA from 13 species
AUUGUUGCCAAUGAAAAUGACAAUACAUCAUAGACGAGGUCGAAUUGAGUUGGUUGCAUUGAUGCUACUGCCAUCUUGAAUUGUUAAUAUCUUUAAUUAGUCUUAAACAAUGAAGAAAUUA